rnacentral:rRNA from 1 species
AACGAACGCUGGCGGCAGGCUUAACACAUGCAAGUCGAGCGCCCCGCAAGGGGAGCGGCAGACGGGUGAGUAACGCGUGGGAAUCUACCGAGCCCUGCGGAAUAGCUCCGGGAAACUGGAAUUAAUACCGCAUACGCCCGACGGGGUAAAGAUUUAUCGGGGUUUGAUGAGCCCGCGGUGGAUUAGCUAGUGGGUGGGGUAAUGGCCUACCAAGGCGACGAUCCAUAGCUGGUCUGAGAGGAUGAGCAGCCACAUUGGGACUGAGACACGGCCCAAACUCCUACGGGAGGCAGCAGUGGGGAAUAUUGGACAAUGGGGGCAACCCUGAUCCAGCCAUGCCGCGUGAGUGAUGAAGGCCUUAGGGUUGUAAAGCUCUUUCACCGGUGAAGAUAAUGACGGUAACCGGAGAAGAAGCCCCGGCUAACUUCGUGCCAGCCGCCGCCGUAAGAC